UUUUAGCCCCGAUAGAAGUGGAAAUCCUUUUACUUUUUUCUUUAAAAAGUAAAAGAUUGUAACGGAUAGCGGGAUUAGCU
rnacentral:sRNA from 1 species